GCAAAAGAAGGAAGUCAAAGGAAACUCUAUGCCAAUCUCAUUGGACCAGCAGAGGAAACCACAGAAGGUCUUGUUAGGAGUGCUGCACUCAUUUUAUUGCCAGCAUUAUUUAAAGAAAACGCCAGCUUCCUCUACAGUGUAAAUAUUGAACCCAAAGGUCCUACACCAACCAUAGUGUUUAACGGCUCUCCUGAUACCCUCAAAGCUGAAAGUGUCAGCAUUAUAAUGGACAACGUGAACAUCAUAAGAGAGGCAGACAUUGACAUGACACAGGCUGUGGAAUGCCUGUUUGCGGUCUAUUUUCUUUUCAAUGUUCAGUUGCCAUUAAGAACACAAUGACUUUUAUUCAAAAAUAUUUGCUUAAACUUAAGUCUCCUCACGACACAAGAACACCAAUACCUGUACUAAAAAUGUACAAUCAACUUGUGUAAAUUGUAGUGCUAUUUAAUAUGUUUUAAUUGUUCAUGAAUUGUUUUUAUCUGCAUUGUGAUUCUUUUCCUCAUUUCAGAGAUGCAUAAAGUUAAGUACUGUACUUAAACAAGCUUAUGUAUGUUUAUAAAAAAAGUGAAUAAUUUAAACAAAAUGGUUGAAUGCAAUGUAAUUAAAGUGUAAAGUUUAGCUGUUUAAUACAGGGAUGCAAUUUUAAAAUAUGUGUUUGUUUAUGUACAUGCAGUGCAAAAACAAGCUUAUGCGUAUGUUUAUUAAAAUGUGAAAAUGCUUAAUGGAAAUUAUUAAAACUAAAUGGUUGAAUGUAAUGAAACAUUUUAAAUGUAAAAUAACUUAAAGUUUUUCUGUCUAAUACAGAGUACAGA